UGAGCUUGUAUUUACACGCAAAAUUUAAGCAAACUUAGUUUAGAUAGCUGAACUGAAAAAUUGACUGGCGGAACAAUCUAUGUCGAAUAUCGCGGGUUUUCUCUGGGCACUUUUAAAUAAGUGAUUCAUAAGCACCUGCUCUGCUGUAAACAAAUACUGAGGAAAGUGGUCUCAGCUAAGAAAGUCCCGAAAAAGAAGUAUUUUUUAGCCCAAAGCGUUUGAAAACAACGGACUGAAUAUCAUUCCAGUGACUUUUAGAGAGAAUAUUCUUUGUUAUUUAAUUAUUUACUUUUCCAACGCUGCUGCUCUAUGAAAAUCUUCGUCGACAAGGUCGUCAGCAAUCGCAUCAACGAUUGGAGUUGCUUCGGUCUGCCACAAUUUUGAUCAGUCCGUGGCUGCAUCAAACAAGUUUCGCGCGGGAUCAUGCCAGUUUCAAACAGUUCAGGAGAAACUUGCAAUGGUUUUGUGUCCAACUGGUUUAAUUGACGUUCAAUAAGAUUCUGUCUAACAUGAGAAUCUGACAAGCUCCAGUAAGGAAUCCUUUUAAUGGUUCAAGGUGCAUUAUCGUUGUAGCCUCGUUUGGUCGAUCUAUUCGCUGUUUAUUUUCGGAUUAUUACGCUGAAUGUAAGUUUGGAAGCACGGAUCUAUGAGUCAGAGGGAAGGAGGGGUGAAUCGACAACGUAGUGUAGAAACAGGUCUUACUCAGGCAAUUCGUCCGAUGUUGAUAUGCGCCUCCGAGUCAAGCGUUUCCGUGAGAAACCAGCAGGGCUCCGAUCAGCUUUCUGUCUCACAGACUUCCGAGUCAAGAAUGGCAAAGAUGAAAAAAAAAAUCAGUUCACCCUUGCCAAAAAGGAAAAGUACAGGCAUUGGU